UAGAGCUUCUAACUUUAAAAUGUACAUCCCACGUGGCAAUAUACAUCCACGUCAUUUAUUUUAUUUAAUUUACAGCAAACCCUAAGUCCUAAUCUUUGGACCUCUUUCACACACACAGCCGCCCACGCCGUCCUCUGCCUCUGCGCGAAUCCAGUCGCCCACCUCCCCACCAACCCCCGCUAGACGCCGUUCUGCUGCCGCGAUUCAGACGCCAUCCUCCGCUCCGCAGUCGUCUACCUCCCCGCCAACCACCGUCAACCGCCGUCCUGUCGCCGCGAUUUAGAUGUGGUCCACCGUCCGGCGAUUCAGACGUCGUCUUGGCCUUCUGUGCGAAUCCAGCCGCGCCGUCCUCCGCCCAGCCCAGCCCGAAGCUCAGCCCUCCGGCGUCGUCCUCCUUCCCCACCGCGAUUCAUCGAGCCUAGAGUGACUCUCCUCUCUCUUUCCCUUGCCGCAAUUCGCCGCACCCCAUCUUUUCUCUGACCUUCCUCUCCCCACCGCUCCCCGCCGCGUUCAGUCAUGUGGCUCAAGACCACGGCCAUGGUCGUCCACCACCGCGCCGUGCUGGCACCCUCCGCAUCUCCCUCCUCCCGUCUCCACACAAGCUCUCAUUUCCCCCCGACCACAGCCAUGGCACAGCCGCAGCCAAUGGCUGCCCCGAGCCUGGCACCACCGCCGUCAAUGGGUGUCUCAAGGAGCUUGCAAUGACAGUUUUUAGGCUUCCUGUGUUUUUCAAGCAGAGGGACAGUCUAUUCUACCCAGCUUGGGCCUUCGCGUUGCCAAUUUGGGUGCUUUGUAUUCCCAUCUUUGUCGUGGAGUCUGCAUUGUGGAUCAUCUUCACCUACUACACCAUUGGAUUUGCACCUUCUCCUGUUAGGUUCUUCAAACAACUGUUGGCCUUCAUUGGGGUGCAUCAGAUGGCUCUCUCCCUCUUCCGUUUCAUUGCUGUAGUAGGAAGAACUCAAGUCGUUGCAAACACAUUUGGAACUUUCGCCUUGCUGUUGGUGUUUGUGUUGGCAGGCUUUGUUGUUGCAAAGGGUAAAUAAACAAUCAAGCAUCUUUCAAAAAAUUAUGACUAAUUCGGGUUUUCUAUCUUUAGACCGAUUACGAGCCUGAACAAAAAAUUGGAGACCCUCGAAUGCGAACAUGAAUACCACAGUGAGUGCAUAAAGAAGUGGUUGCUGAUGAAGAAUAGUUGCCCUUUAUGUAAAUCCCCAGCCCUGAGAGUCGAUUGAUGUUGGCCGAAAAGUUUGAACCUCUUGGUAAUUAUUCUAUAAUCAAGAGUACUUGAUUCAUGUAUUAUAUUUUUGUAUAUACAUGCAAAAAUAUUACUGCCUCCCAAAAUGUAUAGACCCAUUUGUUUGUGGUGCUUAUCAUGAAACAUGGAGUAGUAUUUAAUUUCCUACUUGAA